rnacentral:rRNA from 1 species
UACAGAGGGGGCAAGCGUUAUUCGGAAUUAUUGGGCGUAAAGGGCGCGUAGGCGGCUUUGCAAGUGACGGGUGAAAUCCCUCGGCUUAACCGAGGAACUGCCUGUCAAACUGCAUGGCUUGAGACCGGGAGAGGUGAGUGGAAUUCCCAGUGUAGCGGUGAAAUGCGUGGAUAUUGGGAGGAACACCAGUGGCGAAGGCGGCUCACUGGACCGGUACUGACGCUGAUGCGCGAAAGCGUGGGGAGCAAACAGG